AUUUCCCUCUUGUUUUUAGCAGGUCAUACAAGCAGCAAGUCCACAGGCCACCACACUGGAUAUUUUCCCUGUCUAUUCCCAAGCUUGCACAGAUAUCCAGGUGACAACUUGAGCCCCCAAGGGAAGUAUCAGGGAGGUAUCUGGGUGCCAGCUAGUCCUCCUCUCUCCCGAGCAGCAGCGUCCUCUUCAUUCAGAGCAUCACCCACUCACAGACCCAGCGGGAGGACCAAUGAAAACAUAUAGAAAUCUGCCUCUCAAGCUGAGAGCAGCUCAAUAAUGCAGUUUUAUGCCUCACUGUGUGGUCUUCAGAUUCUUCAGCUGCAAAGGUUUCAGGAUGGGCUCACAAGCAUGUCUGGAGAGCAGUCCUUCCCCAGUGUUGCCAAGUUCCAGCUCAAACUCACUGCAGGACCUCUGCUGUGGAGAUGUGUGAGCUGAGGACAGAUCUACAGGGCCCAUUUUCUAUUCAGUUCAAAGGAGAUGGAUUUAAUUACAAGUGGCAUAAUUUGAAAAGAUUUUGUAGUUCACAAAAGCUCUUAAAAAUCCUUGCUGGCAAACUAAAUAAAUAAUCCUUUAUUGCAUCUCUUCA
rnacentral:lncRNA from 1 species